rnacentral:rRNA from 1 species
ACGGGAGGCAGCAGUGGGGGAUAUUGCACAAUGGGGGAAACCCUGAUGCAGCGACGCCGCGUGAGUGAAGAAGUAUUUCGGUAUGUAAAGCUCUAUCAGCAGGGAAGAAAAUGACGGUACCUGACUAAGAAGCUCCGGCUAAAUACGUGCCAGCAGCCGCGGUAAUACGUAGGUGGCAAGCGUUGUCCGGAUUUACUGGGUGUAAAGGGCGUGUAGACGGGAUUGCAAGUCAGAGGUGAAAUUUAUGGGCUCAACCCAUAACCUGCCUUUGAAACUGUGAUUCUUGAGUGAUGGAGAGGUAAGCGGAAUUCCUAGUGUAGCGGUGAAAUGCGUAGAUAUUAGGAGGAACACCGGUGGCGAAGGCGGCUUACUGGACAUUAACUGACGUUGAGGCGCGAAAGUGUGGGGAGCAAACAGGAUUAGAUACCCUGGUA